rnacentral:rRNA from 1 species
GUAGUUGACUCCGUGCUCGAGGACACGCUGGCGGCGUGCUUAACACAUGCAAGUCGAACGAUGAAGGAGAGCUUGCUCUUUGGAUUAGUGGCGAACGGGUGAGUAACACGUGAGUAACCUGCCCUGGACUCUGGGAUAACUGCGGGAAACUGUAGCUAAUACCGGAUAUGACCUUGGAUCGCAUGAUUCUUGGUGGAAAGUUUUUCGGUCUGGGAUGGACUCGCGGCCUAUCAGCUUGUUGGUGAGGUAAUGGCUCACCAAGGCGUCGACGGGUAGCCGGCCUGAGAGGGUGACCGGCCACACUGGGACUGAGACACGGCCCAGACUCCUACGGGAGGCAGCAGUGGGGAAUAUUGCACAAUGGGCGCAAGCCUGAUGCAGCAACGCCGCGUGGGGGAGUGACGGCCUUCGGGUUGUAAACCUCUUUUAGUUAAGGAAGAAGCCUUCGGGUGACGGUACUUGCAGAAAAAGACACCGGCUAACUACGUG